rnacentral:rRNA from 1 species
CCUACGGGAGGCAGCAGUGGGGAAUAUUGCACAAUGGGGGAAACCCUGAUGCAGCGACGCCGCGUGAAGGAAGAAGUAUUUCGGUAUGUAACCUUCUAUCAGCAGGGAAGAAAAUGACGGUACCUGACUAAGAAGCCCCGGCUAACUACGUGCCAGCAGCCGCGGUAAUACGUAGGGGGCAAGCGUUAUCCGGAUUUACUGGGUGUAAAGGGAGCGUAGGCGGUUUAGCAAGUCAGAAGUGAAAGCCCGGGGCUCAACUCCGGGACUGCUUUUGAAACUGUUGAACUAGAGUGCAGGAGAGGUAAGUGGAAUUCCUAGUGUAGCGGUGAAAUGCGUAGAUAUUAGGAGGAACACCAGUGGCGAAGGCGGCUUACUGGACUGUAAAUGACGCUGAGGCUCGAAAGCGUGGGGAGCAAACAGGAUUAGAUACCCGAGUAGUC